AUCUUGCUAAGAGCCAGUGCUCGGAGAAGGCACUGAUGAGCGGGAGGUGGCAUGGAAGAGAUCUGCAAUUUCAGUUGGUACAAAAUCCUCUUGAAUAUCGAGAAGUGUGAGAAAAUCCCUGACUCUGUGAAUGGAGGAAGCUGUUUCAGGGACCUCUGUGCCCGGGGCUUGCUGUUAAGUGCUGGCUCCUCAGGAACGAGUGCUACAGCCCUGUAGUGAGCCUGGAAAGCGGCGGUCACAGGGCCGCUCCUGGCAGAAGGGGACUCUUACAGGGCCAGGCUGGAGACAGAGUGGUCCCCUCCCAGCCGGGAUGUGGGAGCGUGGUCCUGGUUCCCACUGGGUCUGAUUCAGCAUUGGAGCUCAAGGGCAGACACACCACUUGCUGCCAGCCUGCCCCAA